UACGAAGGGGGCUAGCGUUGUUCGGAAUUACUGGGCGUAAAGGGCGCGUAGGCGGUGUGUCAAGUCAGGCGUGAAAGCCCCGGGCUCAACUGGGGAGGGUCACGCGAUACUGAUCGACUCGAAGGCAGGAGAGGGUAGUGGAAUUCCCGGUGUAGUGGUGAAAUGCGUAGAUAUCGGGAGGAACACCAGUGGCGAAGGCGACUACCUGGCCUGUUCUUGACGCUGAGGCGCGAAAGCUAGGGGAGCAAACGGG
rnacentral:rRNA from 1 species